CCUACGGGAGGCAGCAGUGGGGAAUAUUGGGCAAUGGGCGCAAGCCUGACCCAGCAACGCCGCGUGAAGGACGAAUGCUUUCGGGGUGUAAACUUCUUUUCUGAGGGACGAAGAAAUUAACGGUACCUCAGUAAUAAGCCACCGCUAACAACGUGCCAGCAGCCGCGGUAAUCCGUAGGUGGCAAGCGUUAUCCGGAUUUAUUGGGUUUAAAGGGCGUGUAGGCGGGAAAGCAAGUCAGAUGUGAAAACUUAGGGCUCAACCCUGAGACUGCAGUUGAUACUGUUUUUCUUGAGUGCUGGAGAGGUAAGCGGAAUUCGGUGUGUAGCGGUGAAAUGCGUAGAUAUACGGAGGAACACCAGUGGCGAAGGCAGAUUGCUGGACAGUAACUGACGCUGAGGCGCGAAAGCGUGGGGAGCAAACAGGAUUAGAUACCCGAGUAGUC
rnacentral:rRNA from 1 species